rnacentral:rRNA from 1 species
GAUGAACGCUGGCGGCGUGCCUAACACAUGCAAGUCGAACGGAGGCUUAUUGACAGAACUCUUCGGAGGGAAGAUGAUAAGUCUUAGUGGCGGACGGGUGAGUAAUGCAUGAGCAACUUGCCUUUCAGAGGGGGAUAACACAUCGAAAGGUGUGCUAAUACCGCAUGAAAUGACGGGAUCGCAUGAUCCUGUUAUCAAAGGAGCAAUCCGCUGAAAGAUGGGCUCAUGUCUGAGUAGAUAGUUGGUGAGGUAACGGCUCACCAAGUCGACGAUCAGUAGCCGGACUGAGAGGUUGAACGGCCACAUUGGAACUGAGAGACGGUCCAG